CAGCUUCCAGCCAGGACAUCCAAUGACUUUAUGAUAGGGGCAUGAAGGGGCAGGCGCUGCUCCAGAGGUCCAGGUGCACUCACAGGCUGUUGGACUGUCUCGGCUCUAUCUGCUCCUCCCUUGUCACUUGGACCCUCUUGGAGCUUCCUGGAGCCCAUUUACUGCUAAGACUGGACAACAGGAAGACAGCCAGAAGCGGCAGCCAGAGAAAUGCGGUGUAUUCCAAGCAGAUCUGCUCGGCAAUCCUGG
rnacentral:lncRNA from 1 species